UUGCUACCGUGGCAAGAACCGCAAUCACUUUUGCACCAAACUCAAAUACAAGUAAGAUAUGGAUAGUUGUAUUUUACCUCAAUUUCAAUUUGCUCUUUAAGACCCCAACACUUGGUUAGCUGUUACUAGAGGCUGACAAUAUUCUCAGUAUUUAUACAGUUACGUCAUGCAAACCUCACAACAUCUAUGUGAGUUUCGCACCUUGCCGAGAUCACUCAGCUACACUCUGCCAGAGGCUGAAAUCUUGGGGGUUCUGACAUAAAGCCUGAGGUAACCAUGGUAGCCGCUAACUAGAUGCAAACUUCUCACAUGAGAUGUACUUCCUUUAUAUGAGAAUAAAAACACAUUACGCUACAAACAACGACUUCAGGCACAAACAUCAGCAUCCAGAUUUUACAAUGAUCAUGAUUUAUGUAUGUAAUGAGUAAAAAAAAAUACUAUCUGUGGAAUGUAUACUAAAGUAAUAUGCCAAAUAGAAGUAACCAGACAGGAAUACAUAUUCCCGAUGUCAGUAGACACUCAUUUUGUACGACGGAACGUUUCAAGAGAUCAAGUUUCUUUAUUGCCCAAGGAAGAGAUACUGUCUAUGGUUUGCAGCCUUGCUGAAGAUGAAUGCUCUCUUAAUGCUGUCUAAAGGGUAAACUUGUAACUUACGGCAAAUAAAUGUCAAGAAAUGUCGUGGGCAGAUGAAGUGUUUAUAAAUUUUUGUUCCUUCCAUCAAGAAACUGGGGAUCUAAUAAAUUAAGCUUUCAUAAAUCACUGUUAUUCUGAAUCACUAAGGAAAUGAUGGCUGAAUCUUACUCAAUUUGUGAUUUAAACAGAAAAAAAAAUGAGUGGUUUGAUGGAUGUGAGAGAAAUAAAUGGCAGUAUAACUAAAUGUAUUGAAGAAUCCCAGUGACUGGAGGACAUUAUUUCGUACUGAAGGUUGUUGCUGGCGUGUAGGCAUGGGAAUCUAGUACUCUUUUGAUUAGUUAGUAAUUAAGAAUGUAGAACUCUUUAGUGGAAAGAAAAUUGUCUCUUUUAUACAAAAAUAGUUCUUUCUGAAUUCAAAAUCAGAUUCAGUUCAUGUUUAUUGAACAUCUACUUUGUGCC
rnacentral:lncRNA from 1 species